GUUUUAGCCUAUGUAUACCCCACCCUGAAAAAUAAACGGGGCCUUGCUGCGGUAGAGCAUGAGCCUGGAACUAAGUUCGUGAAACUGCUCUCCUGUUGUUCUUCCCCCGGGUUUGGGACCUGCUGGCAGGAUUCUGACAUCGUGGCUCGCGACAAGUGGCGCCCGAACAGGGACCUGAGUAAGAAGGACAUCGAGGAGAGCGCCCUGCGAUCCAGGGCACUACAACAAGAACCUCGACUGAUCCCCGCGGCUCCUGCCGUUAAGUAUGUCUUGUGGAAUAUGGCUUUACAAGUAAGCACCAGUCUCUGACUCUUCUUACAACUACUGACAUGCAGAAGGCAAAGAUCCAUGAAGUAACUGGGUGACUGUCACAGAGAGAGCAUCGCAGUCAUUCGAACCUCCAUCCAGGGCCAGGACAUUUCCUUCCUUUAUCCAGCUCUCCAAAGACAGUACUAAUCAAUAAACAGACUUUCUAAAGUAACAAAAGUAAGCAAAUUUACAUUAACUGAGGAUAGUUGGAGGGUCACUGGCUUCUCUAGACCUUGUGCUAGUAAGCGAUAGUUUUGAGCACUUUAUACAGUGUCUGUAUUUAAUUAGCCCAUUAUUUUAUUUGUACAUAAAAGCUUGAAACAAGUUGUUUUAAUUCUCAUUAUUACAUCAAUAUGGAUUGUUAUUCUUGGCUUUGACAUAACUGGAAAUCUGAACCAAAAUUUCCC
rnacentral:lncRNA from 1 species